CCUACGGCCUCCAGGACAGAGGAACCGGGGGAGGCAGGGGGAAAAGGCCGGCCCAGCAAUUCCCCUACACCCCGGUCCCACCUGUACCCUCCUGGCCUGGGUCGUCCCAGCCCACGGGGAGCGGGCGGAGUCCUGGCCCGCGAAGCCUUGUCACCUGGUGGGCGAAUCCGCCAGCGGAGACAUGUCUUUAAAGGGUUUUGGGCCGGGCGCGGUGGCUCGUGCCUGGAAUCCCAGCACUUUGGGAGGCCGAGGCGGUGGAUCACGAGGUCGGGAGUUCAAGACCAGCCUGGCCAAGAAGCUCAUACUGACUAAGGCAGCAGAACAUACAGGAGGAAGAGGAGCAGGUUUCACAGAGGGAAGACAUGAGUUCAAUUUUGGACUUCUCAGUAGUCGGUGUCCUCAGUGGUAGUACCUUCAAAAGGAAGGUGUCAAAAGUCAAAUUCUGGAGAGUUGAGUAUGAAUGGGAGAUGAAGAAAAGGAGGCAGCACUUGUAACCUGCUCUUAAUGUAUUUCUGCACUCUACACUAGCGGCCUAUUACAUAGGACACUUGGAUGUCUCCUAGAUAUCACAAAUUCAGCUUGUUCAAAAAUGAAUUCUUCAAGGUAUAUGGAAAGAUGUGAAGAAGAAAAUAUAGCAAUAAGUUACGUGGCAGUGUAUGAGAGUUCCACUUGUUCUACACCCUCUCCAAUUCUUGAGGUUGUCAAUGUGGUUGGCCAUUCUGGACUCAGGAACGAAAGCGCAGGGAGCAGAGGCUGGACCGUCCUCUGUCAGUUCCCUCGUUCCCCUGGAGUGGAGCUCUGAGCCCUGGGACCAUAGAGUUGGCUGUUACACUGGAAACACUGAUCAGACCUUUGGACUCAGCUGAGCUAAGGCUGGAGAAGCCAAUUGACUCAGAUGAAAUACCCCAGGCAUAAAAUCACAAAAGAGUUUUUGUUAGAUGCUGGUUGGGAGGGAGUGGCUCCAGAGAUCUGGGAAAAGAGCAGGCCGGCUGGCAAUAGAGACAUGAGGGAAAGGCAGGAACUUUGCCUAGAAUGGGGGCCAGGGGUUGCCAGGACCCGCCUUGGUGGGACAGAGAAUUGAGUCAAGAUUCUCAUCUCACCUCCACUAUGAUCCUUUUUUCAUUCCACAGAUAUUCACUGAGUGCAUAGUGUGUGCGCCAGGCCCUGUUCUGGGAGAUGACAGGCAAGGCCACUGACUUCUUGGAGCUCGCCCCCUAACGGUGAAGACAAACAGUGAAUGACUAAGGGAAAAAAAAGAACCCUGACGCUUGGCAUGGUCCAUGGCCCCCUCCACACAGCCAGUUGGCCAGGGAGCCAAGGCAGCCUGUAAACGCUCUGCCUGGAGCUGCUCAUAAACAAAAACAGAGUGAUCCACAAAAGGGCCCCACAGUCUGGCACUGAAUGGAAUCCCACCUUCGGUCCAGCAACUGGAGAAUGAAAGUCCACAUCCUGAUGACUGGUUCUGCACCUGGGGCUUAGAGCACGUAGCAAGGGGCUGAGAAGCAGCCAGCACAUAAUCAGUGACUGAAAUUUCAUCACACAGUCCUCCAUGCCAGGCCCUGUGGGGAAACCAAGACAUGUAAGGCAAGUCCUGCUCUUAGGAAUUUCUAAUCUCAGUACUGAAAAGUUAAUAACAUAAGGACACAGCCUAUCUGUGGUCACACCAUGGCAUGAGCUGUGUGGAUUCCAAGUGCUGAAUGAAGCUGGAAGGGCAGAGGUCACAUCGGGCCAGUAUGUGCUUCUUGGAAGAGGUGGCAUUUGAGUCACUCGAAGAAUGAGCAGGAGAUGAGGGAUGGGAAGGAGAAGGCAUUCCUGGGAUGCCAAGAGCAAAGUGUCACAGUUUUGCAUUGAUCACUGUCAUCCAUGUAAGAGCGAGGACAGCUCAGGCAGGUGGUGAACAUAGAAUGGAGGUGGACACAUAAAUAUGUGGAGAAAGAAGGAAGCCUUUGGGUUAAAAGGCCAAGACUUGACACCUGUGAGGACCUGGAAUCUAACCCUGUGUUUGUCUGUAAACCCAAGGCAAGUCACACUUCUUCCGAGGCAGUUUCUUCACCUGUAAAAUGAAGGGACUGAGCAAGACAGUCUCUAAAGUUCCUAUGGCCAGGUGCAGUGGCUCAUGCCUAUCUUCACAAUACUUUGGGAGGCCGAUGCAGAAGGAUCACUGGAGCUCCCUCAAGACCAGCCUGGGGAACACAGGGAGAACCUUGUCUCUACAAAAAAUUAAAAAUAUUAGCUGGACAUAGUGGCAGGACCUGUGGUUCCAGCUACUUAGGAGGCUGAGGGGGGAGGAUAUUUUGAACCUGGGAGGUCGAGGCUGCAGUGAGCUGUGAUCACACCACUGCACUUCAGCCUGGGCAAUAAAUAAACAAACAAGUAACAAA